UACGUAGGUGGCAAGCGUUGUCCGGAUUUACUGGGUGUAAAGGGCGUGUAGGCGGGCUGUCAAGUCAGAUGUGAAAUCUAUGGGCUUAACCCAUAACGUGCAUUUGAAACUGAUAGUCUUGAGUGAUGGAGAGGCAGGCGGAAUUCCUAGUGUAGCGGUGAAAUGCGUAGAUAUUAGGAGGAACACCAGUGGCGAAGGCGGCCUGCUGGACAUUAACUGACGCUGAGGCGCGAAAGCGUGGGGAGCAAACAGGAUUAGA
rnacentral:rRNA from 1 species